CUCCUUUAUGACUGUGGAACACAUGGUGGGUAUGACAGGUUACUCCUCAUUGUCACGGGACAGGAAGUCAGCGAUGACAUUCUGGUGUCCUGGUCUAUACUGGAUCUGAAAACGAUAAGGCUGGAGAGACAAGUACCAUCUGGUAGUGGUGAAGCUGCAAUCGUCUCUACCUUUCCUACCUGAGGCCGGAUGCCUCCACCUCCAAUCACAUAGCCAAGGUACUGUACCUCUGGCUUUGCAAUGUGACACUUCUUGGCAUUGAUGACCAGACCAGCACUCUGGAUGCGUUGAAAGACAUCAGCAAGAUGCUUUACAUGCUCCUCCCAGGUCCGGCUGAAGAUAACGAUGUCAUCAAUGUAGGCUGCUGCGUAGUCGUCCGCCCCUCUCAAAACUUCAUCAACCAAUCUCUGAAACGUUGCUGGUGCUCCGUGCAAACCAAAGGGCAUCAUUCUGAAUCUGAAUAGGCCACUUGGAACCCUGAAUGUUGUUAAGUCCUUUGACGAUUCAGUUAAGGGCACUUGCCAGUACCCUUUACACAGGUCAAGGGUUGUUAGGAAUUUUGCGUUUUCCCAGGCGUUCGAUCAGUUCAUCCACCCUUGGCAUUGGAUAGGGAUCAAAGGCAGACAUGGCAUUUAACUUUGAAAAGUUAACACAGAAUCUCAGUUUAGGAUCAUCACACCACAGAACUACACCACUCACUGCGAGAUGGCUAGAUGAUUCCUGUAGCCAACAUCUCCUCCACGUCUUGCUUCAGUCCUGGAACAAGUCUGGCUGGAAUGCGUCAGGUGUUGUCCCUGAUUGGCAGCUGUUCUGGUGAAUGCAGACGGAUGUGAUGUUCAAUGAGGUGUUUACAACCUGGCUUUAAACUGAAGCCAUCCAGCUCCAACCUGCGAUGAACCAACAUGUUGAAGAUUUGCCAUAAUGACCCCCCGCAGCUACAAAGGGGGGGGAGGGGGUGGAAAGACGAUUGAGCAUCCCUCUGAUGAAGGGAGAGAGAUGAAGACACGGAUACCAGAGAUGGCCGAAUCAACUGCCACAGAGUGAGAGAUGGAAGAAUGCGAUUCAAACGGUUACUAUCAGCCAACAAGAACCAAGAAGGAAAGAUGCCCACAGAGGAACAGCCGCUACUCCAAACAGCUUAACCUCUCAUCUGCCCAUCAGUGAAGGUGCUUUACAAACUCAACUGCUCAACGAUGCUUAAAUGUUUCAAGCUAAAUUGAAUGUAUAAACGCCAAACAACAAAUUUUAUUGAUCAACAUCAAUAAAGGAUAUGAGUCACUGAUUGUACCUGGUG